GCUGACGGCGUGCCUAAUACUGCAAGUCGAGCGGACAGAUGGGAGCUUCGCUCCCUGAUGUUAGCGGCGGACGGGUGAGUAACACGUGGGUAACCUGCCUGUAAGACUGGGAUAACUCCGGGAAACCGGGGCUAAUACCGGAUGGUUGUUUGAACCGCAUGGUUCAGACAUAAAAGGUGGCUUCGGCUACCACUUACAGAUGGACCCGCGGCGCAUUAGCUAGUUGGUGAGGUAACGGCUCACCAAGGCGACGAUGCGUAGCCGACCUGAGAGGGUGAUCGGCCACACUGGGACUGAGACACGGCCCAGACUCCUACGGGAGGCAGCAGUAGGGAAUCUUCCGCAAUGGACGAAAGUCUGACGGAGCAACGCCGCGUGAGUGAUGAAGGUUUUCGGAUCGUAAAGCUCUGUUGUUAGGGAAGAACAAGUGCCGUUCAAAUAGGGCGGCACCUUGACGGUACCUAACCACAACCCACGGCUAACUACGUGCAGCAGCC
rnacentral:rRNA from 1 species